UUAAUAUGCUUUUCAAGGUUAGGGUAAUCACCAUUCAUCAGUCCUGUGCCUUUAACUCCUGCUCAUCCUAAGUGAGUCUCUAAAGCACUAACUUUUCUUCAGAGAGUUAAUGGUAUUUCUUUUAACUCUUGUGAAAAAGACCAAAAAUCCAAUUUAUGGUGCUUUUAUAAUUCUUUUGUGCAGUGAUCCUAUACAAGACACAUCUAUAAUCUAAUAGCUUUGGUAAGAAACCCCUGGAGAAAUGAAGACUUCAUAAUUCCUUUAUUUGGUGGCAUCCAGGGACCCAAAAGGACAAUUCCUGCCAAUUCAGAUUUCACAUGCUGAAAGGCACAAUAAGACCCAGCGCUUGGAACAUAAAAUUGUACAUCCCAGUCUCUCUGUCAAUUUGAUGGUUUCUUUCUGGCAUCUUCUGAAAGGCAGGAGUGUAAGCAUGGAGGCUUGGGAGAGGAGAAAACUGGUUUGCUUGGAGCAAGUAGGGGGACUUCUGGCUAAAACUUGCUUAGGUGUGAACCUGAGUGCAUCUCUUAAUCAGCAAGAGAGUAAUGCCCCCCACGACUUGCCGCCCCAGGCACGCACUUGCUGCGCUGGUGCCUGGAGCUGCCCCUGCUGAUGGGAGUACCACCUUUUCUCAAGAUCUUGCCAUCUCUUACAUUGAUUCUCCACUUUCAAAUCCCAGCUGAAAAUGUCUUUUUCUUCAUUCCAUAAAUCACUUCAUUUCUCCCUCCCAUUUCUGUUUUUCUCUUAUUUAAUGUGGCAAUGUGUAACUUUUUAAAGCUACUUUAGAACUGGAGUUUCUUCAUAGGUUAAGGCCAGAAGGGACCAUUACAAUCAUCUACUUUGACCUCCUCCGUAACAGAGAUCACAGAACCUAUAGCCCGUAAUUUCUCUGAGAACUAGGGCAGAUCUCUUAGAAAGACAUGAGCACUGGUUUAAAGAGUUCAAGUGUGGUGAUUUCACCACAUACAUAUAUAAGUUCUUCCAAUGAUUAAUUACUCGCUGUUGUAUUUCUUAAGUGCAUUACUUGUAGUUUGAAAUUAUCUAACUUCAGCUUCCAGCAACUGGAUCUUAUACCUUUUGUCUGGUAAAGAGCCCUCUACUAUGGUUUAUGUAAAAGAUGCUAUAUAGAAUACAGUUGCAUUGUUCUUUGGGUAUUUGCAUUUAGACUUUUGUUUUUCAGUGGCAAUAAAAAUGGAUUGGAUCAUCCCAAA